GAGGAAGCCGUUAUCAUGGAGUGUGUUCACAUGAGGGGCACUUUGCAAGCAUAAAGGGGAUUGACAAAGUGACAUUUUUAUUCAUGUGCACCUAACAAGACGGAAACCAGAGGAAGCAGAAUGAGAAGUGUGGUUAGGCACCAACUUUCUUCAUGUUUAUCAGGGGCCGAAGAGGUGGAUGGGAAAGAAAGGAUCGAUGCAUCAGAGCACAGGAUUAAUGCAACGUAUUAAGUGCAACCCUGUAAUCUAAGUGCAGCCCUAUCUGCCUCUCCAGUAACAGCAACCACACACAUUUCCUAGGAGCCAGGAACAGUAACAGCACACAAAAAUUCCAACCAGGAUUAAACUGGAGGUGAAGUCACUGCUGCCCCAUGAUGCCUCACUUCUGAGCUGUCACUGCACACCUCUUUACUGACUCCAACAUGCCAAUUAAAAAGCCUGGCUUGCAGCGGGACAAUAGGCUAGAACGUGGGUUUCAUUCUUUUCCAUCUGAACAAAAGCAAUGUCUUUGCUCCUCGAGCUCCAGGGACUGUGAGGCAGGGGAGCCCUUUUGAAUGGUCCCUGCCACCACACACUUCCCAACUAUCGACACCGGCUAGAUAGGUAACAAAAGGGGAGUCAAAGGUAAUGAAUCAGAAUUUGCAGAGUUUAGCUGCUAUGGGUGUGGGAGGGCCCCCAGAGAACGGCCAACGGACCCGAUCCAUUUGUAUCACUUGUUAACCAAAAUUGUCAGUGACUUUGGAACAAUUAUUGCCUUCCUGAAACCAAAACCUGCACAGCACAAUAACUCUUGAGCCUCCCUUCUCUGCAUUAAUAAUCAUGUUCAUGGUGCUUUACUUAGCAGGUUACAAUGUUGGCUUACUCUCAGGCUCUCUGCAGUGAACAAAUUAAAGAGGCUUGCUCUGUUCCAUGAAAAUACUCCAGCUCAGCCUAUUCAUUUUCCUAAAUGCUUCUCCACUUCAAAUUGGCAUUCCAGCCAUGUGGCAUAUAUUUUUUAAAAGCCAUCGCAUGGGUCAAUAAUGUUAAACCCUUACCCAUGACAAUAAUUUACUCUCAUCGACUGUGUACAUACACAGAGAAGAAAUACACACAUAGUGUGUGUGCUCAUACUCUGAUCCCUUUGGUGUCUCUCAGCAUUGUGGACUCUCUCUUCCUAUUGUGUUUCAGUCUUUUUUUUAACUGGCGGUCUCUUUCUCCUGCAAAGAGAGAUUACAAAUACAAUCCUAGAAUUGUAAAUAGAACGGUGGCUGCCUUUUGUUCGGCUUCCUGUCCAAGUUGUUACAACCUUUGUCAUGGUAAUGAGCCAUCAGAAUUUCAUAGCCUGAAUACCCUCUCCACUCUUCCAGUUUAUUGUGUGCCUAAAUUUGGAUGAGUUUAUGGUCUCCGUCAGUGCUGCCCGUGGAUAAAGACAGCUGGAAAAGUUGACCCGCUUUAAGACGACCAAAGGUUCUUCAUGGAAGUAAAAGGUUUACUGGCAACACAGGAA
rnacentral:lncRNA from 10 species